rnacentral:rRNA from 1 species
GAUCAUGGCUCAGGAUGAACGCUAGCUACAGGCUUAACACAUGCAAGUCGAGGGCAGCAUGAACUUAGCUUGCUAAGUUUGAUGGCGACCGGCGCACGGGUGAGCAACACGUAUCCAACCUGCCGAUGACUCGGGGAUAGCCUUUCGAAAGAAAGAUUAAUACCCGAUGGCAUAGUUCUUCCGCAUGGUAGAACUAUUAAAGAUUUAUCGGUGUACGAUGGGGAUGCGUUCCAUUAGGUAGUAGGCGGGGUAACGGCCCACCUAGCCAACGAUGGAUAGGGGUUCUGAGAGGAAGGUCCCCCACAUUGGAACUGAGACACGGUCCAAACUCCUACGGGAGGCAGCAGUGAGGAAUAUUGGUCAAUGGACGAGAGUCUGAACCAGCCAAGUAGCGUGAAGGAUGAAGGUCCUACGGAUUGUAAACUUCUUUUAUAAGGGAAUAAAGUGAGUCUCGUGAGACUUUUUGCAUGUACCUUAUGAAUAAGGACCGGCUAAUUCCGUG